rnacentral:rRNA from 1 species
GUGAACGCUGGCGGUAGGCCUAACACAUGCAAGUCGAACGGCAGCACAGUAAGAGCUUGCUCUUACGGGUGGCGAGUGGCGGACGGGUGAGGAAUACAUCGGAAUCUACUUUUUCGUGGGGGAUAACGUAGGGAAACUUACGCUAAUACCGCAUACGACCUACGGGUGAAAGCAGGGGACCUUCGGAUCUUGCGCGAUUGAAUGAGCCGAUGUCGGAUUAGCUAGUUGGCGGGGUAAAGGCCCACCAAGGCGACGAUCCGUAGCUGGUCUGAGAGGAUGAUCAGCCACACUGGAACUGAGACACGGUCCAGACUCCUACGGGAGGCAGCAGUGGGGAAUAUUGGACAAUGGGCGCAAGCCUGAUCCAGCCAUACCGCGUGGGUGAAGAAGGCCUUCGGGUUGUAAAGCCCUUUUGUUGGGAAAGAAAAGCAGCAGGUUAAUACCCCGCUGUUCUGACGGUACCCAAAGAAUAAGCACCGGCUAACUUCGUG